rnacentral:rRNA from 1 species
GGCUAACUAUGGUCUAUUAGCAGGGGUACUGCAGAGGUGUCGAGUGAUUAUCGAGUGUGUGAGGCGUCACGCGCUGGUAGGUGGGUGAUGAAGUCAAAUUUGAGAGCUCGGAUGUUAACGUGGGAAGUACAUUAGAUACUGGUGGGCUAGAGUAUGGGAGAGGAUGGGAGAAUUCCAGGUGGAGCGGUGAAAUGCGUAGAGAUCGGGAGGAAGACCGAUGGCGAAGGCAGCCAUCUGGCCUAAUACUUACACGGAGGUGCGAAAGCAUGGGGAGCAAACAGGAUUAGAACCCGAGUAGUC